rfam:Xenopus tropicalis strain Nigerian Chr06_contig_3190, whole genome shotgun sequence.
GGCUCUGUGGCGCAAUGGAUAGCGCAUUGGACUUUUAGAUAAAUAAAGGUAUUCAAAGGUUGUGGUUUCGAGUCCCACCAGAUUCG